rnacentral:rRNA from 1 species
AACGAACGCUGGCGGCAGGCCUAACACAUGCAAGUCGAACGCCCUAGCAAUAGGGAGUGGCAGACGGGUGAGUAACACGUGGGAACCUUCCCUAUAGUACGGAAUAUACCAGGGAAACUUGGAGCAAUACCGUAUACGCCCGAGAGGGGAAAGAUUUAUCGCUAUAGGAUGGGCCCGCGUAGGAUUAGCUAGUUGGUGAGGUAAUGGCUCACCAAGGCGACGAUCCUUAGCGGUUUGAGAGAACGACCAGCCACACUGGGACUGAGACACGGCCCAGACUCCUACGGGAGGCAGCAGUGGGGAAUAUUGGACAAUGGGCGCAAGCCUGAUCCAGCCAUGCCGCGUGAGUGAUGAAGGCCUUAGGGUUGUAAAGCUCUUUUGCCGGGGACGAUAAUGACGGUACCCGGAGAAUAAGUCCCGGCUAACUUCGUGCCAGCCGCCGCGGUAAC